AUUGAACGCUGGCGGCAGGCCUAACACAUGCCAGUCGAACGGUAACAGGAAACAGCUUGCUGUUUCGCUGACGAGUGGCGGACGGGUGGGUAAUGUCUGGGAAACUGCCUGAUGGAGGGGGAUAACUACUGGAAACGGUAGCUAAUACCGCAUAACGUCGCAAGACCAAAGAGGGGGACCUUCGGGCCUCUUGCCAUCGGAUGUGCCCAGAUGGGAUUAGCUAGUAGGUGGGGUAACGGCUCACCUAGGCGACGAUCCCUAGCUGGUCUGAGAGGAUGACCAGCCACACUGGAACUGAGACACGGUCCAGACUCCUACGGGAGGCAGCAGUGGGGAAUAUUGCACAAUGGGCGCAAGCCUGAUGCAGCCAUGCCGCGUGUAUGAAGAAGGCCUUCGGGUUGUAAAGUACUUUCAGCGGGGAGGAAGGGAGUAAAGUUAAUACCUUUACUCAUUGACGUUACCCGCAGAAGAAGCACCGGCUAACUCCGUG
rnacentral:rRNA from 1 species